rnacentral:tRNA from 1 species
GGACUCGUAGCUCAGGUGGGUAGACCGUUGGCUGUGCUAAAGCCUUCCUCUUGCUGUCGUGGGUUCGAAUCCCACCGAGGCCG